AAGCAUUAAUCAUAAAACCAAUACAUUUUUCGGUGAGAUUAGAAUCAAAAAUUCAAUAAUGACGUGUUCGAGAUUUGAAUCCGAUUGAUAUGUCUUGUGGAUGCCACUGCGGCACUACGUCAUAUUUACAGAACAUGAGGUGAUUUAUUUUCUAACAGGUAUUUGACUGACAGUGUAAUACAAAAAUAUAUUAUAUAUGUAUUAA